CGAGAAAGCCCGCAAGGGUGAGUAAAGCGGCGCACGGGUGCGUAACACGUGGGUAAUCUGCCCUAGAGUCCGGAAUAACUCGCCGAAAGGCGCGCUAAUGCCGGAUGAGACCACGGGGUCUUCGGACCCUGAGGGAAAAGGUGGCCUCUGCAUGCAAGCUAUCACUUCAGGAUGAGCCCGCGGCCCAUCAGCUAGUUGGCGGGGUAAUGGCCCACCAAGGCUACGACGGGUAGCUGGUCUGAGAGGACGAUCAGCCACACUGGAACUGAGACACGGUCCAGACUCCUACGGGAGGCAGCAGUGGGGAAUCUUGCGCAAUGGGCGAAAGCCUGACGCAGCAACGCCGCGUGUGUGAUGAAGGUCUUCGGAUCGUAAAGCACUGUCGCGAGGGACG
rnacentral:rRNA from 1 species